rnacentral:rRNA from 2 species
GCAGUCGAGCGAACUGAUUAGAAGCUUGCUUCUAUGACGUUAGCGGCGGACGGGUGAGUAACACGUGGGCAACCUGCCUGUAAGACUGGGAUAACUUCGGGAAACCGAAGCUAAUACCGGAUAGGAUCUUCUCCUUCAUGGGAGAUGAUUGAAAGAUGGUUUCGGCUAUCACUUACAGAUGGGCCCGCGGUGCAUUAGCUAGUUGGUGAGGUAACGGCUCACCAAGGCAACGAUGCAUAGCCGACCUGAGAGGGUGAUCGGCCACACUGGGACUGAGACACGGCCCAGACUCCUACGGGAGGCAGCAGUAGGGAAUCUUCCGCAAUGGACGAAAGUCUGACGGAGCAACGCCGCGUGAGUGAUGAAGGCUUUCGGGUCGUAAAACUCUGUUGUUAGGGAAGAACAAGUACGAGAGUAACUGCUCGUACCUUGACGGUACCUAACCAGAAAGCCACGGCUAACUACGUGCCAGCAGCCGCGGUAAUACGUAGGUGGCAAGCGUUAUCCGGAAUUAUUGGGCGUAAAGCGCGCGCAGGCGGUUUCUUAAGUCUGAUGUGAAAGCCCACGGCUCAACCGUGGAGGGUCAUUGGAAACUGGGGAACUUGAGUGCAGAAGAGAAAAGCGGAAUUCCACGUGUAGCGGUGAAAUGCGUAGAGAUGUGGAGGAACACCAGUGGCGAAGGCGGCUUUUUGGUCUGUAACUGACGCUGA